CACACACAGGAUAGUCAUUGGAAGAAGAGCUUUUCUGAGUUUUCCUGUAAAGUGGAUAUGAUGAUGCAAGUUGCUGUUAAGAUACAAUAAACACUUAAUAUGUCACUUAAUAUAUAACACUUAAUAUAUCAAGUGUUUGACACGGUGUUGGUGCUCCCUGAUGGAUCUUGAAUGUGUAGCAUGUUUCCACAGUGGUCUUCCUCCUGGGUCACGUUGGUUUGCUGACGUCCCUUCAAGAGAAGUGACCAGAGGCCUGGACUUCAUCGCUGCUGACUGCUGUCCUCCACUGGACAUUAUGUUCUAUUAAUGUGGCCCAAGCUUGCAGUUGUGCUUUCAGCACUGCAGUCUGCUGGAAAGUGUUGGCUCAGCCAAGACCUCGGUGCUUUUGUGAGGGAUGCUCUGAAUCCAAGAGCCUUCAAGGGAAGAUGUGAAGGAAGGGACUGGGUCCUGUGGCAGGAUCCAAGGGCAGUCCUCAGACCUAGCGGCUGUCAUGUCCUUUACAGAAAGGGCGGAGAAGUUGGCCAGCCCCUCCUGGCUCUGCCCUUCUAUGCUCUGGGCCUGCAAGGCAGGAGACCGGAAAGGUAGAAUGAGGCUGGUGAUGGGGAAUGUGGAGGGAAGGGGCGGGUCUGAGGAGAUGCUGGGGUGAGGCGGGGUCUCCAGGCCAGGUGUGAAUGCUCUAGGUUCCCUCAUCCGUGUCUCUUACCCCUUCAGUGAGCCUGGGCCCACCUCUGCUGCUUCUGAUGGAAGGAGUUUGCCUUUGUCUUUGGGGAGGCCAGACUCCUGGCUGAAGGGCAGUGGCUGGAGCAACACCGCCCCCUCAUGGUCUAUUCUGCAAGUGCAGUCAGUGGACCCAUCCUGGAGUUGGGAGCUGCCUUCUGACACCCCACCCAACCUCUUCUGAGGCCCAUAGGCUGCCUCCAGAUCAGCUGAUCAGCUGACUUUGUGGUCCUUGGCUGUCUUUGGCAGCUUGUCCUGUGUACCUAAGAGUGUCCCUUUGUUUCUGGCUUAUGUGAGCCGUCGCUGUCUGCUGUAUAUCUCUCCUGCUCCCUUGGGCUGUCGUCUCCGUGUCUGUGGUCAGCACCUCCCGUCUCUCUUCCCAUCAGUCUCUGUGCCCCCGUCUGUGUUUCUGCAUCUUCUCCUGUCUCUAACUUGCUCCCUGCCCCCCUCCACUGUCUGUGUGUCCUGGAGCUGGGGUCACGGCUGCCCUCCCCCCAGAGCCAGACUGAUUCUUGAGAAGACUGGGCUUUUUAGCUUUUUCCAGGAUGAGUCAGGAACUCCUGGAGGGAUGAGGAUCAAGGUCCCACCCAGCAGUGGCCUCAGAGAGGAUGCCGGAGGUCAGAGGAGUCUCAGGCUGGGCUGAAGACUGUGACAAGACAUUUUCCAAAAUAUGCUCAUGGGGCCAGUGGGAGGCUGGGCGCAUUCCUGCGGAUGUCUAAGAAGCAGAACAAGCAAGCUGCUGGCUGCCAGUGUGGAGCAGGGCUGCUCUAGCUGCCAGCUGUAUGCAGAGCCUUCCAUCUCUCCUCAAUCCUCACCACACUUUCUAUGGCCUCAGGGCCUUUAUACAAACUUUUUCUUUGGAGAAGUCUUUCCCUCGAGGCGUUAGAAAGCACUUCCUUUAGGAAGUCCUCCUGGAUUCGCAGUGUCUGAGAUGAGCCUUCCUCUGUGCCAAGGUUCGCCCAGAGUUGCUUAUAUGGUGCCAGCUGGGUUCUAAGAGAGCGUGGAAGCUCAUAUGGUCUUUUGGAGUCUCACCUUGGAGAUAGGACGCCAUCACUUCUGUUGAAUUUCUACUGGUCAAAGAGAGUUAAAAGGCAGCCCAGAUUGAGUAAGAAAGAAAACAGACUCUACUUCUUGUUGGGAGAAGCUGCAAAUCCAAAUUGCAUGGAUCUCAGUAGGGGAAGAUUUGGGGACACUUUGUAAUUAAUCUACUAUAUCCAGCCGGAAAAACCUCUUGUUUCCCCUCCUCCAGGCUCUGAGUGGGAGAACUUGGAUUUGAUUACCAGGACAGGACGGGCAGGGCCUUGACCACAUGACCUUCUAGGAUUCUUCUAGUUCUGACAUUUUGGGGUCCGAGAUUCAAUCUGAGGAGUGUUGAAACCCUGCCCCUUCCUGUAUCCUCGUGGUAGGACCUAUCCUUAGACAAAAUCAUCAUGUAGAUAUAAGAAACCUGGCUGGUUUUCACGUGUGGUGUAUGAACACAGAAUGACUAUUUUUUGGUCCCACCGUGUAUUCUGUCUCCUGCCUCCAAUUAUACGGAGGAGAGCCUGGUUCUGAGAGGUGAAAUGAAGGUAACACGGCACACCGGUGGCAGCAGCUACAGCCCAGACCUCUGGGCCCCUGGUUCCUUCUCCCGCCCCUCUCUGGCACUGCACCACUCGCCCCUACCGGCUGUCCAUUGCUGAGGCCCCCAGCUCUGCGUCACGCCAGCCUUCCAUGCAGCUGGGCAUUUGCAGCUGGGAAGUAUGGAGGGCCGUGUGUACCUGUGGUCCACAGGCAGGCUGGGCCACUAGGGGUCAUGCUCUAGGGUGGGCUCAGCUGGAUGGUGGCAUAUUCCACAACCUCUUCAGACCCUAGUAUGGUGCUCCGUGGCCCGGACAUGAGUUCCAGGGCUGAUGUGUCCAGCUCUGCAUAGUAGACAUUGGUGUCCUUCAGACCAGAGCUCUAGGAAUGAGGCAGAAGGGAGAGAUGGUAGGAGGCGGUGAGAGACGGGGAGUAAGGACCAGAGGAAGUGUCCCAGGGCCAGGAAUUGGGAUGAGAUGGGGAGGUGUGGGAGUGAAGGAGAAAAGGGAACCAAGAAGGAUUGUGUGGUAUGGAGGGAGGGAGAGAGAGAGAAGACAAAAUCAAUCAGUGAUAAGAGAAGACAUGGGUUCGGAAAAGGUGUUUAUCAAAUCGGCCACACGCAUUUGUGUGCUCUGCUAAGCUGUAUCCCCUUGGACCGCUGUGGCGAUGGGCAGAGGAGGGUGGACCCUGCUCCAGGUCCACUGCACUUGGCUGUCAGAGACCAUUUGGGCCAACCCUCUCCUUUUGCAGAGGGAAGAGACUGAGGCCAAGGAAGGGGACGUGAUGUGGCCUUCCCAGGUCACAUGGAAUAGCUGGCAGGGCAUAAAGUCGAACUUGGAGUCAGAAGACCUGGCUUUAAAUAUCAGCCAGGCCAUGUGCUGCAAUUGGUCAGAUUAUUCAACCCACCCGAGCCUAGUUUUUCAUCUAUAAAAUGGGGGAAUAAAUCUGUUACAUGAAUCAUCACUGUUAGAAUGCAGGCUCCAACUUCCUCCCUGAGCUCUUUGGUAUGACUUGUCUUGACUUGGAAAUUACUAGGUAAGAGUGCUCUGAGGGCAGGGGCUGCCAUGAAACUGAAAAGGCAGAGACACUCCCUGGCACAUAUGGGCAUUAGCUCUGCUGAUGACCCCUUCUGUGGCUGUGCCCAGCUCCGUCCCCUCAAGGGACCUCAGUUUCCCUUUUGGCAAAGUGGUCCCUGAUCUCUGAGGUGCUGCCAGCUCUCAUUCCUGGACCAUUCCUCAUACACACCUCCUCCUCAGCUCGCUGCCCAUGAUGGGCCUGUCCACAGAGCGGGGGCCGAGGAAGAGAGGCCUUGCCUGGCUUUGAGGGCAGGGAGGCGGCUUCUUGCCACGGGAGGCAUUCCCCUGUCUCUGCCUCUUGGUGGGGCUGCCCACACAGUGGGAAGGUCGAGUGUCCUGAUUUCAGCAGCGACUAUCUGGUGUCCAUCAGUGAAGCUGAAGUCAGUGUGAAAGUCGAGUCAAACCCUUUGUGACCCCAUGGGCUGUAGCUGGCCAGGCUCCUCUGUCCAUGGGAUUCUCCAGGCAAGAAUACUGGAGUGGGUCGCCAUUCCCUUCCCCAGGGGAUCUUCUCAACCCAGGGAAGAAACCCAGGUCUCCUGCAUUGCAGGCAGACUCUUUACCAUCUGAGUCACCAGGGACACGUGGCCCUGUUAAGUUUAGCGCAGUUAGCUCCCAACUUCUCAGAUGUGAAAGUCACACCCCGAGGCCUUUCCUUCGUCAACCCCUGUGCUUUCUGAGCCUGCCAGGAGGGCGUGGAGGAGGCACUUCCUCUCCAGGUGGAAGGGGCCCGGGAGGAGGUUGGAGGUAUAGGAGGCCAGUGACAGAAGGAAGGGAAGGGGGCUGAACAGACAGGUGAGGAGCAGUUCCUGGCUCCCUGGCCAUGAGCUGGAGGGCCUGUGAAGGUGGCCAAGGGCCAGGGAGGUGGGCACAAAGCCAGCAGGGCAGUGUGCAAGCACGAGCUGCUGAGGGCAGAGGUCCAGACUCCCUUCAUCCCUGUGGGGCCCUGGAGACAGGCAGAGUGUGGAUUCCACAAGUCAGGACUCCCGUAAGGUGGGAGGGUCGCUGGCACUCUGGGAUGGGGUGAAGACCAUCCUAUGGAGGCCAGCAAUGGAUGCACUGACGGUGUCCCCAUUCCACACACCCAAGGUGUGGCAGGAUGAAUGGAUUCCACCUCUUGACCCUCCCAUCAUCACAAGGAUGUCUAGAGAUAGGUGUGUCAGGUGGGUGUGAGGCUGGGGGUGUCCUGGAGCUGCCAGGCUCAGGCAGGGACCCCUCAGUGGAAUUCCCACUGAGGCUGUCUGCUGAGAGACCACCAGCGUCCAGUAAUUUCUCUACAUGGGCUCUUCCCAACUGAGUGCCCUCUGGAUGGAGCAGGCUGGGCUCUGACCCCUAUGGAGGGCUGGGAGAUUGUGGGCUGAUGGCAAAGUUGGUUUGGGACCGUCUCAUGCAGGUGAGUGGAGGGGAGUUCUCCAAGACACCCUGGCACUUUGCCUUCUAUCUUAACAGAAUCCAUCACAAAGAGACAAAGGAGCAAUGCUCUGACUCCUCCUUGGACUGGGGGAAUCCUUGGCUAGAGAUCAGGGAGCCAGCACCCCAUAGGCAAGGUGUGUCCCUGGCUCUGGGCACCAGUCUUACUAGCCGGUCCCCAUCUCAUCCCAGGAGGCACACACCUCUUGGCUCAAGUUUGGGGAACGGGUAGAAGUCUCAUCUUGGGCAAACCAUUAGUUCCAUCCCAAGCUCAUUUUUGCCCUGGACUUCCCAUAUUCCUUGCUUUGUCUUUCACUGGAGCAGCCAUGGAAAUGCACCACUCCGACCUGCCAUGGGGAGCGGGGCUGAACGACAACUCAGCUCCCGCCUGGCUGGACCCACCAGGGCAUUUGCAGAAGCUGCAUGUCCCCUGGCUGCUCCUGCCAGCGACUGCACACCAGCAGCGCUACUGGAGCUGCCUUCCCGGGGGGCAGGACCUCUCUAAGGCUGGCCUGAGGACUCCUCUUGGCUCAGUAUAAGCUUUCCCAGAGCCACACUGCCAUCUGAGGCUCCCCCUUCCUUCCCCCCUCCUUUCUCAGGCCAGACCUGCCCCUGCCUUCUCCUGUUCCCUCCCCUUUAUCUGUCAGCACUGGUUUUCCCCAGUGAAGCUCUUGGACAUCAAAUCUUGUCUCCGUGUCUCUUCUUGGAGGGCUCGAAUGCACACAAGUGGUACCGGGCAGGGCUGAGAAAAUAGGUGUAAAAGGGAAAGUGGAGAUUUGGGCCUGGCUUACUCACUGCCCAGUGGCAAGGAGGCCCCACCCUGAGCGGAAAGCAGGGCCCAGAGAGUCUCUGGCACAGCUUGGCCGCCCAGUGGUGAAGCUUCCACCAUCAGGGGCCUGGGAGGGCGUGCUGGUGGAGGGGGUGCUCUUUCAGGCACAGUGACUCAGGCUUUGAGAUGCCCAGGAAGUGAGGCUGGAGGGACAGCAGAGUUGACUAGUUAUUAUUUUAGUGAUGUUGUCACUUAUGGAGGGUUCAUGAGAAACUGAGGGUCCCCGACAGGUAAAAGUUCAAUCUAAGAGCCAGAGACCCCUCAGGGAGCUUUCACAGGGCUCCAUUUCUUCCUGCUGUGGAGCAGUGGACACAGGAUUUGAAAGUGAGAAUCAUAGGCUUUGGAGAGGCUCAGCCACGCCAGCUUUGUUCUCCUGUGGGCUCAAGCUGAAAAAAUCGGCAACUCUGAAAGUGAGUUGGGGAUAAGUGGAUAGAGGUCUGUUAGGGAAAUUAAAAGGGAGGAAAUCUUGUUUAGGCUUCAGAAGCAGGAGAGCAGACCUCUGACGGACUUCUGACCCUACCUGGACCGCGUGCCUGCUUGCAAACACACCAGUUGUUUCCAGCAGGUCAGGCAGCACCUUAGACAAGAGACGGAGAGGGUCUUGGAAUUUGCUGAGCUCCUGUAGGCCUGGCCAGCCCCCUGGGGUCUGGAAAAUCCUGUGACUCACAAGGUGAAAACCAAUAGCAUUCUAAAAGUUAAUGGAAAACCAGAACUGCAUUUUUGUGUGCAAACUGACGAUGAUGCCCAUUUGUGGCCUGAGAUUAUAAGUGGUGGCCCCCAAAGCUGCAAUGUGAAGUCUCACCCAUGGGGUGAACACGCUGCCUGGGGCCUUUUGCCAAUCGGGACUCCAGAUUGCUGCUACACGGGCCUUCCCAGCGCUGUUCAAGUCUGGAUGUGGGUUGUCAACCCAGUUUGGUGAAGUAUGUGCUGUUCCUUCUCUCUGUUGUUUCUAUUUCUUUGCUUUUAAUGAUUUAUAUUGAAAUGAAGUUUAAAAAUCCUCUAUUAAAAAUUGAAAUUGUU